AACGAACGCUGGCGGCAGGUUUAACACAUGCAAGUCGAGCGCCCCGCAAGGGGAGCGGCAGACGGGUGAGUAACGCGUGGGAAUCUACCGUACCCUACGGAACAACAGUUGGAAACGACUGCUAAUACCGUAUACGCCCUACGGGGGAAAGAUUUAUCGGGGUAUGAUGAGCCCGCGUUGGAUUAGCUAGUUGGGGGGGU
rnacentral:rRNA from 1 species